rnacentral:rRNA from 1 species
CACGUAGGGUGCGAGCGUUGUCCGGAAUUAUUGGGCGUAAAGAGCUCGUAGGCGGUGUGUCGCGUCGGCCGUGAAAACCUGCAGCUUAACUGUGGGCUUGCGGUCGAUACGGGCAUCACUGGAGUUCGGCAGGGGAGACUGGAAUUCCUGGUGUAGCGGUGAAAUGCGUAGAGAUCGGUAGGAACACCAGUGGCGAAGGCGGUCUCUUGGCCCACUCUUGACGCUGAGGCGCGAAAGCUGGGGGAGCAAACAGG